UACAGAGGGUGCAAGCGUUAAUCGGAAUUACUGGGCGUAAAGCGUGCGCAGGCGGUUUUGUAAGUCUGACGUGAAAGCCCCGGGCUUAACCUGGGAAUUGCGUUGGAGACUGCAAGGCUUGAAUCUGGCAGAGGGGGGUAGAAUUCCACGUGUAGCAGUGAAAUGCGUAGAGAUGUGGAGGAAAACCGAUGGCGAAGGCAGCCCCCUGGGUCAAGAUUGACGCUCAUGCACGAAAGCGUGGGGAGCAAACAGG
rnacentral:rRNA from 1 species